AAAAAAGGUAAGCUACUAAGAGCGAAUGGUGGAUGCCUUGACUGGUAAAGGCGAUGAAGGACGUACUAGACUGCGAUAAGCUACGGGGAGCUGUCAAGAAGCUUUGAUCCGUAGAUUUCCGAAUGGGGCAACCCAAUGUAUAGAGAUAUACAUUACCUAUAUAGGAGCGAACGAGGGGAAUUGAAACAUCUUAGUACCCUCAGGAAAAGAAAUCAAUAGAGAUUGCGUCAGUAGCGGCGAGCGAAAGCGCAAGAGGGCAAACCCAGUGCUUGCACUGGGGGUUGUAGGACUGCAAUGUGCAAGAGGUGAGUUUAGCAGAACAUUCUGGAAAGUAUAGCCAUAGAGGGUGAUAGUCCCGUAUGCGAAAAACAAACCUUAGCUAGCAGUAUCCUGAGUAGGGCGGGACACGAGAAAUCCUGUCUGAAGCUGGGUCGACCACGAUCCAACCCUAAAUACUAAUACCAGAUCGAUAGUGCACAAGUACCGUGAGGGAAAGGUGAAAAGAACUGAGGUGAUCAGAGUGAAAUAGAACCUGAAACCAUUUGCUUACAAUCAUUCAGAGCCCUAUGUAGCAAUACAGGGUGAUGGACUGCCUUUUGCAUAAUGAGCCUGCGAGUUGUGGUGUCUGGCAAGGUUAAGCAAACGCGAAGCCGUAGCGAAAGCGAGUCUGAAUAGGGCGCUUAGUCAGAUGCUGCAGACCCGAAACGAAGUGAUCUAUCCAUGAGCAAGUUGAAGCUAGUGUAAGAACUAGUGGAGGACUGAACCCAUAGGCGUUGAAAAGCCCCGGGAUGACUUGUGGAUAGGGGUGAAAGGCCAAUCAAACUUCGUGAUAGCUGGUUCUCUCCGAAAUAUAUUUAGGUAUAGCGUUGUGUCGUAAUAUAAGGGGGUAGAGCACUGAAUGGGCUAGGGCAUACACCAAUGUACCAAACCCUAUCAAACUCCGAAUACCUUAUAUGUAAUCACAGCAGUCAGGCGGCGAGUGAUAAAAUCCGUCGUCAAGAGGGAAACAACCCAGACUACCAGCUAAGGUCCCUAAAUCUUACUUAAGUGGAAAACGAUGUGAAGUUACUUAAACAACCAGGAGGUUGGCUUAGAAGCAGCCAUCCUUUAAAGAAAGCGUAAUAGCUCACUGGUCUAGUGAUUUUGCGCGGAAAAUAUAACGGGGCUAAAGUAAGUACCGAAGCUGUAGACUUGCGCACAACUUAGAUUAUUUAAGUUUAGAAUAUGAGAAACUAAGUUAUAUGUUUAGUUAUAUUUUUACUGAUUUUUAUAGAGUAAAGAUAGAAAUAAAACUUAGUAAAAUCAGUAAAAAUAUUCUUAGACUAAAGUUAAGUAGUUUAAGUUGUGUGCAAGUGGUAGGAGAGCGUUCUAUUUGCGUCGAAGGUAUACCGGUAAGGAGUGCUGGAGCGAAUAGAAGUGAGCAUGCAGGCAUGAGUAGCGAUAAUUAAUGUGAGAAUCAUUAACGCCGUAAACCCAAGGUUUCCUACGCGAUGCUCGUCAUCGUAGGGUUAGUCGGGUCCUAAGUCGAGUCCGAAAGGGGUAGACGAUGGCAAAUUGGUUAAUAUUCCAAUACCAACAUUAGUGUGCGAUGGAAGGACGCUUAGGGCUAAGGGGGCUAGCGGAUGGAAGUGCUAGUCUAAGGUCGUAGGAGGUUAUACAGGCAAAUCCGUAUAACAAUACUCCGAGAACUGAAAGGCUUUUUGAAGUCUUCGGAUGGAUAGAAGAACCCCUGAUGCCGUCGAGCCAAGAAAAGUUUCUAAGUUUAGCUAAUGUUGCCCGUACCGUAAACCGACACAGGUGGGUGGGAUGAGUAUUCUAAGGCGCGUGGAAGAACUCUCUUUAAGGAACUCUGCAAAAUAGCACCGUAUCUUCGGUAUAAGGUGUGGUUCGCUUCGUAUUAGGAUUUACUCCGAAAGCGAAGAAACUUACAACAAAGAGUCCCUCCCGACUGUUUACCAAAAACACAGCACUCUGCUAACUCGUAAGAGGAUGUAUAGGGUGUGACGCCUGCCCGGUGCUCGAAGGUUAAUUGAUGGGGUUAGCAUUAGCGAAGCUCUUGAUCGAAGCCCGAGUAAACGGCGGCCGUAACUAUAACGGUCCUAAGGUAGCGAAAUUCCUUGUCGGUUAAAUACCGACCUGCAUGAAUGGCGUAACGAGAUGGGAGCUGUCUCAAAG
rnacentral:rRNA from 1 species